UCGUGGUGUAUAGCCUGGGCUCAGGCACUGCUGCUCAAUUGCCACGGGUGUCCCUUUCACUGUAGGAACUUUCUGUCUAGUACCUCCUUCCCACGCAUCAUUCUUAUCAGAUGGUAGCCUCUCUCUGAUAUAACUGCCAGGUCAGCGGUUGACGUGGGGAGAAGUGAAUGCUUCGGGGCUGUCCAGGCUCCUGCAUGUGGAGUUAGGGAUUCCUCACCAUCCCUGGGCUCUAGAGCUCCUCCGUCAUUAGUUCCCAGCCUUGGGCUGGCACUGGCCUGAUUCUGCUGCGUUUUUGCCCCAUAGCAUAUCUUUCCAAGGGGUUCUUGAAGAUUUUGUAUUAAUUGCUGAGUAUGGCCCGAGAGUCAUCCAUCCUCAGACUUCGUCUGUGUUAUCGCUAUGUUUGAACUGAUCAGGGGAGAGGACAAUUGGCUCAUUCCAGCUCGUCAGUUUUUGGCCCCAGAAUCGUAGCGCAAGCGCUUUGUAUUCCAUAAAGAUUUAUGCUAAUGUUGGUGUUAUUAUUUUCUCACUUUUAUUUUUACUCAGUUGUAUGAAGAAUUGAUGUGCCUCUAGUUCUUUUGUAUCAUUUGUUUUCCAAGACUUAAAUUCAAAAUUUCAAAGAAGAAAAAUACAUACCUGCACACUCCCAUUUAGAAAGCCCUUUUUAUCUAGAAAUCAGGUCCUAUUUAUCAACGUAUAAUACUGUUGGUAUUUUGGAGACAAAUUUAUUUCUUUUCUGCUUUUUUUUUUUUUUUUUUUUUUUUUAGGGCUGCCCUUGCAGAAUAUGAAAGUUCCUAGGCUAGGGGUUGAAUUGGCACUGUGGCUGCCGCCUACACCACAGCCACAGCAACCCCAGAUCCCCCACCCACUGAGUGAGGCCAGGGAUCGACCAGUGAGACCCGCAUCCGCAUGGAUACUAGUCAGAUUCAUUUCUGCCACGCUACACAGGAACUCCAGAAAUAAAUUUAUUAAAAUGUAAUUUAUAUACCAUACAAUUCACCCAUUUGAUGACAUGGGUAAAAUUUGAUGGUUUUUCAUUUACACAGAGUUGUGUAAACAUCACCAAAAGUCAAUUUUAGAACAUUUUCAUCAUCCGCUAAAGAAACCCCAUUCCUUUUAGCAGGGACCCCCACAGACACACAUUUUCCGCGGCCCUUCCUCUCAGCUCCAGGCAAAUCUUAAUCUACUUUUUGUCUUUCUUCUUUUUUUUGUUUGUCUUUUGUCUUUUUAGGGCUGCACCCGCAGCAUAUGGAGGUUCUGAGGCUAGUGGUCCUAUCGGAGCUGUAGCCUCUGGCCUACACCACAGCCAUAGUAAUGCCAGAUCUGAGCCGUGUUUGCAACCUACACCACAGCUCAUGGCAACGGCGGAUGCUUAUGCCACUAAGCGAGGCCAGGGAUCAAACCUGCAUCCUCAUGGAUACUAGUCAGAUUUGUUUCCGCUGAGCCACAAUGGGAAUGCCUAGCUUGUUUUACUUAGUAGAGUGUUUUCAGAUUUCAUCCGUGCUGUGGUGUCAGUAUUCAUUCCUUUUUAUUGAUAAAUAAUAUUUGAUUUUAUUGAUAUAGCACGUUUUGGUUUUGUACUCAAGAGUUGAUGGACUUCUGGGUUGUUUCUACUUUCUGGAUAUUUUGAAAAAUGCUACUAUGCCAUAUUUGUGUACAAGUUUUGUUUUUAUUUCUUUUGGGUAUGUAACUAAGAAUGGAAUUUCUGGGUCGUGUGGUAAAUUUUCAUUACUAAUUGAAAAGACUUUCUCCACUGAGUGAUCUUGGGACUGUUGUUGAAAAUCAGCUGGCCGUAAAUGUGAGAAUUUAUUUCUGUAAUCUCAGAACUAUUUCAUUAAUCUGUAGGUCUGUCAUAUGACAGUCCCACACUAUCUCGAUUACUACAGUUUUGUAGUAAGUUUUGAAAUUAGAAAAUAUGAGUCCUCCAACUUUCUUCUUUUUGAAGAUUGUUCAGUUCUUCUGGGUCCUUUGAAUUUUCACAUGAAUUUCAGGAUAGGUUUGUCAAUUUCUACAAAGACUUUUGCUAGAACUGUCAUAGGGACUAUACUGAAUAUGUAGACCAAUUUGGGAGAAUAUAUAGUAAAUUAACAUUUAUUUUAUUAAGGUGAAUUUUUUUUUUUUUUUUUUGCCUUUUCUAGGAUCGCUUUCGCGGCAUAUGGAGGUUCCCAGGCUUGGGGUCUAAUCGGAGCUGUAGAUACCAGCCUACGCCAGAGCCACAGCAACGCGGGAUCCGAGCUGCAUCUGCGACCUACACACAGCUAAUGGUAACACCAGAUCCUUAACCCACUGAGCAAGGCCAGGGAUUGAACCUGCAACCUCAUGGUUUCUAGUCGGAUUUGUUAACCACUGCGCUAUGAUGGGAACUAUGACAACUUAGAAUUUUUUAAAAAAUUCAAGUUGAAACUGUUGUUUAUACACUUUUUAGAGCUUAAGUUGUUUACUUGUAAAAAUUAAACAUCGGAAGUAAGUUUCAGCAGCUAACUGCUAAUUUCUUUCUUUGACAUACUUUAGAAAAUAAUAGAGGUAGAAAGAUAAGGUUUAAAAUAAUAUUUUGUUUUCUCCUUUGCUUAGCAUUUUGUAAUAAUUACUACUAAGUGGAAGUUAUCUAUUUGCUAAUAUACACAUGCAUAUGUGUACAUAUAUAUAUAUAUAUAUAUAUACAUUUAUAUGAGAUUUAUUUUCCAUUGUCGCAGUACACUAGAAGCUGCUCCAAAUCUUUUUUUUAAAUACGUAACUUAAUAUGAUGUGGUUUAUUGAAUUUGCUUACACAGUGAAUUCUGAAGCCUAGCCUAUUCUGAAAUAACAUUAAGAACUUUUUUU
rnacentral:lncRNA from 1 species